AGCAGCCGCGGUAAUUCCAGCUCCAAUAGCGUAUAUUAAAGUUGUUGCAGUUAAAAAGCUCGUAGUUGAAUUUCGGGACUAACAUGUCGGUCGUACUUUGUACGUACUAGCAUUAUUGGUUUCUCCCUUCUGACGAACCACGAUGUCAUUAAUUUGGUGUCGCGGGAAAUCAGGACUGUUACUUUGAAAAAAUUGGAGUGUUUAAAGCAAGCUCGCGCUUGAAUACAUUAGCAUGGAAUAAUGAAAUAGGACGUUUGAUUCUAUUUUGUUGGUUUCUAGGAUCGACGUAAUGAUUAAUAGGGAUAGUUGGGGGCAUUAGUAUUCAAUUGUCAGAGGUGAAAUUCUUGGAUUUAUUGAAGACUAACUACUGCGAAAGCAUUUGCCAAGGAUGUUUACAUUAAGUCAAGAACGAAAGUUAGGGAU
rnacentral:rRNA from 1 species